UAAUCAAUUUCCGGUCAGUCACGAUUAAGCAAAAGCGGCAGCUGAAUUCUUCUACGAUCGGCGAAGAUGAGUUUGGGGAAAGUGGGCAAGUUCACACGGAACAUUCUAGAUCAGAAACGUCGACUCCUUGCCGCAAAAUGCGAGGUGAAGAGGAAGCUCUACAAGGCGAUCUGUAACGACCCCAGUCUUCCGGCGGAUAUGCGUGAGGCUCACCGUCAGAAGUUGUCGGAGCUUCCCAGGAAUAGCUCCUUUACCCGGUUGAGGAAUCGGUGUAUCUUCACCGGUCGUCCUCGUGCUGUUUAUGAGAAGUUUCGGAUGUCUCGGAUCGUCUUCCGUGCUUUAGCAAAUCAGGGUGCUUUGCAGGGCGUGAAGAAAGCUUCUUGGUAGUCAUCUCCAGGAAGUGAAGUGGUUCGAGUCCUGGACAAUACUUAACUAGGAGUUGAGCUUGGAUCGAGACAUACAUCUAUAGCUUUUGUUUUGUGCUUCAAUUACAGAAAACUCGAAUGCCCUUUGUUUCUAUUGUUACAGUGGCACUCUUUUGUCUCAGUAAUAGUGUUCAAAAACUAGUGAUCAAUUUGGUGUUAUUAAUAAAGUUGCAACUUCAUUGAUGUAUCCACUAUGAUGUAGACAUCACUAAGAAUUAUUACUCCGUAUAUGCUUUUGCAAAA